rnacentral:rRNA from 1 species
ACCCCGAAGACCGGUCGCUAACCCUUUUAGGGAGGACGACCGGUCGAAGGUGGUACUGCGAUUGGGACU